GACUUCGCUGAACACAAAUAUUAGUGAUUCACAACAGUAAAACAUAUCACAGCGAUGAUAUUGUCAGUGAAAGUUACUUUUUUGCAUUUUUCACACACAAACAGCACUUUUACUGAUGAUAUAAUUGUUGUGAUACGUUUUCCAGUUUUUUAAACACUAAUAUUUGUGUUCAGCGAUGUC
rnacentral:miRNA from 1 species